rnacentral:rRNA from 1 species
CUAUACAUGCAAGUCGAGCGAAUGGAUUAAGAGCUUGCUCUUAUGAAGUUAGCGGCGGACGGGUGAGUAACACGUGGGUAACCUGCCCAUAAGACUGGGAUAACUCCGGGAAACCGGGGCUAAUACCGGAUAACAUUUUGAACCGCAUGGUUCGAAAUUGAAAGGCGGCUUCGGCUGUCACUUAUGGAUGGACCCGCGUCGCAUUAGCUAGUUGGUGAGGUAACGGCUCACCAAGGCAACGAUGCGUAGCCGACCUGAGAGGGUGAUCGGCCACACUGGGACUGAGACACGGCCCAGACUCCUACGGGAGGCAGCAGUAGGGAAUCUUCCGCAAUGGACGAAAGUCUGACGGAGCAACGCCGCGUGAGUGAUGAAGGCUUUCGGGUCGUAAAACUCUGUUGUUAGGGAAGAACAAGUGCUAGUUGAAUAAGCUGGCACCUUGACGGUACCUAACCAGAAAGCCACGGCUAACUACGUGCCAGCAGCCGCGGUAAUACGUAGGUGGCAAGCGUUAUCCGGAAUUAUUGGGCGUAAAGCGCGCGCAGGUGGUUUCUUAAGUCUGAUGUGAAAGCCCACGGCUCA